CAUUCCUACGGGAGGCAGCAGUAGGGAAUCUUCCACAAUGGACGAAAGUCUGAUGGAGCAACGCCGCGUGAGUGAAGAAGGGUUUCGGCUCGUAAAGCUCUGUUGGUAGUGAAGAAAGAUAGAGGUAGUAACUGGCCUUUAUUUGACGGUAAUUACUUAGAAAGUCACAGCUAACUACGUGCCAGCAGCCGCGGUAAUACGUAGGUGGCAAGCGUUGUCCGGAUUUAUUGGGCGUAAAGCGAGUGCAGGCGGUUCCAAUAGUCUUAUGUGAAAACCCUCGGGUCCACCCGAGAAUU
rnacentral:rRNA from 1 species